ensembl:lncRNA
CCGGCGGCAGAGCGCUCAAAGGUCGCACGGUGCAGAUGUGGAGGUUCAGCUGAGGAAGUCGUCCUCUGGAGUCAUAUGGCAUGGAUUAGCCUCGUCACACCCACUUCCUGGACACGCCUACCCACAAUCCCCCAGGAGCGUGGCCUGUGGCCCGGACUGAGUGGAGAGCCCCCCCCAUGUUUGUGAAGCUGCUCUCGUUCCGCUCCGGACGUCUCCCUGUGGACGGUUGUUAGUGCCCCGCUGGAGGUCACGUCAACACCGGGCCCGACGGCGUGGUCCUCCCGCCCCAGCUGGCCCCCCUCCCCGCGGUGCCGAGAGGGUCCCGGCGCCUUCAGAGGAGCCUGGAUCCAGUGGGGCUGAUGGGGACACAUCAUAGCACCAGCUUCUGCAUCACAGUCCGGAGAGCCAGCGUCUCUCAAACCGUCUCAUUCAUGAAGAACCCGUCAGCGCCUGGGAGCGUCCAUCGGGCUGAGCCUCUCGUCGUGAUCAUGGAAGCAUUAAGAGACUCAAGAUGGUUUCCCUCCAUGAGCAGAGUGGAGCUCCGAGACCCGGACCCAGCCUCAGGGCCAAAGGGGAUCCACUCCCGGGUACAAACCAGUGUGUGGGGGGGUUGACUAAGAACCGGACUCGUUACUGAUGGACGUGCUCCUGAAGCGUCCCCCCGUCCCAGGCAGGGUCGGUCCCCCCUCCGGUGGGAUGAGCAGCCGAGAGACCCCCCCAGGGUUGCCAGAUUGGACGGGAAAUCUGGGCCAAUCUGGGAACACGGCCUGCGUGUCUAGAAGGGAGGCCUUGAGAGCUCCGGUGCACCUCACCCAGCAGAAGGCAGGGAGAUGGAUGGACUCAGAGUGGGGACCCCCGGAGUGGGGACCCCCGGAGUGGGGACCCCCGGAGUGGGUCUGCUGGGGGGCCACAGUACAGUAACAAUAGGGCCGUGCUGGAAAGAUCCGUGGAUCUCUAUUGAGGAGUCUUUUUGUUUUAGUUUGAAAAAAACACCUUCACCUGACUCUCUGGGUCCAGGACUUUUAUGCAAUGGAAAAAUAAACUCACUUUUGCACCUUUGUAAAGCAUUUGAACCCCUG